GAUGAACGCUAGCUACAGGCUUAACACAUGCAAGUCGAGGGGAAACGAUAGAGAAAGCUUGCUUUUUCUAGGCGUCGACCGGCGCACGGGUGAGUAACGCGUAUCCAACCUGCCCAUCACUUGGGGAUAACCUUGCGAAAGUAAGACUAAUACCCAAUGAUAUCUCAAGAAGACAUCUGACUGGGAUGAAAGAUUUAUCGGUGCUGGAGUGGGAUGCGUCUGAGUAGCUUGUUGGCGGGGUAACGGCCCACCAAGGCGACGAUCAGUAGGGGUUCUGAGAGGAAGGUCCCCCACAUUGGAACUGAGACACGGUCCAAACUCCUACGGGAGGCAGCAGGGAGGAAUAUUGGUCAAUGGGCGAGAGCCUGAACCAGCCAAGUAGCGUGCAGGAUGACGGCCCUAUGGGUUGUAAACUGCUUUUAUAAGGGAAUAAAGUGAGCCUCGUGAGGCUUUUUGCAUGUACCUUAUGAAUAAGGACCGGCUAAUUCCGUGCCAGCCGCCGCGGUAA
rnacentral:rRNA from 1 species